UGGGGAAUUUUGCACAAUGGGGGAAACCCUGAUGCAGCGACGCCGCGUGAUUUAGAAGGCCUUCGGGUUGUAAAAAUCUUUUCUAUGGGAAGAAAAUGACAGUAGCAUAGGAAUAAGGACCGGCUAAUUACGUGCCAGCAGCCGCGGUAAUACGUAAGGUCCGAGCGUUGUCCGGAAUCAUUGGGCGUAAAGGGUACGUAGGCGGGUAAGCAAGUUAGAAGUGAAAUCCUAUAGCUCAACUAUAGUAAGCUUUUAAAACUGCUCAUCUUGAGGUAUGGAAGGGAAAGUGGAAUUCCUAGUGUAGCGGUGAAAUGCGCAGAUAUUAGGAGGAAUACCGGUGGCGAAGGCGACUUUCUGGCCAUAACCUGACGCUGAGGUACGAAAGCGUGGGUAGCAAACAGG
rnacentral:rRNA from 1 species